GUGAGUGUUUGGGCACGAGAGGACGGGUGUGUGGGAGUGUGCAUGCUAUGACUGCAGAGCUGGACUUUGAGGCCUGGCUUGAGCUUGAAUUUCACCCUCUAUGCAACUGCUGAAUAAGACAAGCCUGCAAAUGGACAUGCACAAGAAACAAGAAGAAAUCAUGUUUAUUUCAUCUAUAUUCUGCACUAUGGAUCUGUAUUCUGUUUGCAUAACGAAAACUGUGGACUGUAAUUGUCUGAAAAUGAAUGGCAGCUUGGGCCGGGCUGGUGCACUGCUCCCAGAGUUAGUUAAGUGCUAAACUAAAAGUGCUUGACAACACUACAGGGAGCUGCAAAUCUACAAGCCCAAAAUGAGAAGAAAAACAAAUAUAUUUUCUGAACUAUGGAUUACUAUUAUUUUUGUAUGGAGAAGAAGUCAUGAUCGGAGCAUGGUAGGAAAAUUUUCAUUUCAAUAAACAUUUCUCUUGGAAUAUCUCUGUUAGCAUUCUACUGCUCAGUUUCACACCUAAAAUCAUGGCUGCGUCACUCUCUGGCCGAUUGAGUGAGCCUUGGCAUCAUGUCAGAUUGUAAGAGUACAGUGGGCAGAAUGAUGACCUUUGGACUUUUCAAACAACUGCAAUUCUGUUUCAGUGCUACGCUUGAAGCCCUAAAUAUAAAAGUCUUGUUUAAAAAUACCAACUAAAAAUACUAACUUAACAGUAGAAAACCUGAAAUAUGUUGUUGCACUGAAUGAAUCAGAUUAAAUGAAACCCCAACCUCCUCUUUUAAGUCCUGAUGCCUUGUGGUUUAAUGUUGUGUGCCACUAGACGACAUUUACCUGAAACAAUUACAUUUUCCAGGAAAUUCCAGCCUUUAUAUCCAUCAUACCAAACAUAUCAAAUCAAACAGAUGAAAAAACAAAGUAAUCUCAUUCAUGACUUAGGUCAAAAAGGGGAUUUAAAAAUGUGUAGCUUGUACUCAUCCAUUUCUGUUGGAAAGAAAGCAUAAACAGAAGCUUUUUUUUCCCCUUCGGAUGGGAAACUUUAAUGCUAUAAGUGGAUUUUAUUCCACAAAAUAGGGAUUUCGUUUCAGAAAGCCAAUUGUCUGAAAGAGUAUAUAACGGGCCAAUGAAAUGCAAAAGCUUGCAGCGUAAGCUUGCUCACGUGUGCCUUAUUGACAAUUAGCUCCGCAUAUAGGCACAGGGAAAGCAAGGAAACGCCAUCCUUUUCGCUUCAGACUAUUACAGCCUUCUAAGAGAGUCGAUGAGGGUUCCUCCUGCUGUGAACCAGCUAUUUCGAGCGAACGAAAGCAUGCUCCCAGUCCAGAAUGUGUACACGCAUCGGCAGACGAUCGAGCUGGGUUUCUCCCUUGCCUGGCGUUCUUUGGGUCCGGUCCUCCAGAGCAGUGCGUAUAAAGUUGCUACUUUACUGUUACGUAAAGUUAAAGUCGUACUGUUUCAGAUAAAAUCUCUUCAAAGUGGUUCAUAUUCAACUCAAAUCAGUUGCGGCGCCGCGCGCACUGUUUGCUUGAGUCUCAAAAAACGCAACGCCAGCCGAAAUCAUGCCCUAUGCACCCAAAGCGAACCUCCGCAAACUCCGCGAUGAUGACACAUUCGCCGCAUGCACUCAAGCGGACACGUCGAGUAUAAACCAAAGUCCGCCUUCUUGACUCCCCCAUAUCCCAAGCUUGCCUGUUCGGUGACACCGUCUGCGAAUUCAGUGUUGUCGUGCACCACGGGAAAAAGCUGAUUCUAACGGUGUCCGAAAUAAAGGAGGGCAAAAGCUAGAGCCUUUAUUCUGUGUGUUUACAUAGUUUAAUGGAUGAAUGAAUAAUAGAAACACAUAGACCGCUAAAAUUUUGGAGGGAAUGUGGAGACAACAUUAAAAAUAUAAUUUUUUUUACUUUCUUACUUACAUUUAUGAACAGAAAAGUUUUUUCAUAAUUCAAAAAAUAACCAAAUAAACUCCUAUUUCUCAUCUCGCGCGCACAGAUCUGCUUGAACAACACAGGAAUACAUUAUAUCGGCAGUUUGCAUACCCUCUAGUCGCAGGAGUUCAAAUAUUUUGAUGGAUCUGCAGCUCAAUUCGGAUCCGAAUUUUCCGCAAACGGAGAUGGUCAGAACUCAACGCAGCUCCCGGACUGCUCUCCAUUGGAAAUGAAUGACUUCCGGUCUGUCACUUGUUGUUUGUCGUGUGCAGUGGAAAGGAGGCUUCAGAGGCGCUAGGCGAAUUAAUCCACCCCGCCCCCCUCUCUAAUGCCCUCUUAGGAUCUCGCCCUCGUUCUCACGAGGCUACGUCAGAUCCCUUCGAUCAUCGACUCAGUAUCUUUAAGAUUUCUGUCCCUGAAGACAGCUCUGCUGGUCGCGUUGAUAACGAUUUAGAGGGUCGGGGACCUCGAGGGAUUUUUUAGUCAGUGACUCGUGCCUGUAAUUUGGGCUGGCUUACUCUCCCGUUUCUGAGACCCCGCCCAAGGUUACUACCACACCGUUUUAAGACCAGAUAGUGAGCCUGCAAGCGCUGCCCCUUGGAGGAGGCAGACCCAGCCCUUUUCUUACUGUUUCCAGUUCGUGCUUUGCGUAUUAAUCUGGACCGCACUCAGAGCUUAGAUCAUCUGAGCAGCUCUUUGUCUGUUAUGGCGGUCGGCAGCAGGGAAGUGCCAUAUCAAAACAAAGGUUGGCCCACUGGAUAGUGGAUGCCAUCUCCCUGGCUUACCAGAGCCAGGGCGAGCCGUGUCCCCCGCGAGUGCAUCCGCACUCUACUCAGAGCGUCGCAUGCUCUUGGGCGCAUGCACGCGGCGCCUCUCUAACAGACAUCUGUAGAGCUGCGGGCUGGGCGACACCUAAUACAUUUGCAAAUCUGCGAGUGGAGCCAGUUUCCUCAAGGGUAUUAGGUAACCCUUGGUGAUUGAGGAAACAACUCGGUAAAGGUAUUGAAACACGCUUGCUGCACCAUUCUCCCUAACAUGGAGAUACGUGCGCUUUUUCAUCUGUCAGUAAAGUUCCCCGUUAGGGGAGCCCUGCAGAUUCCUCCGAGGCCCCCAGCACUGACUCAGCGGAGGAGUCACUCGCUGGCUCAUUACGUUGUAGGUCUGCCCGCUGGUCAGCCCACGUUUUGGGCGGACCCGUGUCUUCCCUCUCUCCUAACCAUCUUAUUAUAUGCGUACUCCCCCUUCUUAGGGCUAGUCCAUAUAUUUUGCCAUCAUAUCUCCCCAUUGGGUAGCAGGUGGCCUCUGCAGCGUCCUCCCUAUCGGGACUGCAUGCUUUCCUAACGUACUGUCGAAUUUUCCAAGAAUUAUCUAGACGCUUGAGACUCCCAAAAAUAUAUCUAAAUCCGUAAAACUUCUUUGAAGUGGGAUAAGGUAGGGCCAGGGAUCACGUUGGAAGGCCUCGCCUGUCUUUGAUGCAGGAGCGCCCACGCUAUGCCUGGCUAUCCUCUCAUCGAAGCGAAGGUAAGGUGCUGUCAUUAUGGCAUUUUCCAGACAUUUCCCCAUUUCAUGGAUUAAAAUCCACUUAUAGCUUUGAAGUUUCCCAUCUGAAGGGGAAUGCUCUGGUUACCAAAGUAACCCUAUAUAGCAUCACCAUAAUAAUUGUUCCUUAGCUGUAAGUGUCAGUCUCUUCAGCUUAAAAGGAUGGCGUUUCCUUGCUUUCCCUGUGCUUAUAUGCGGAGCUAAUUGGCAAUAAAGCACACGUGCGCAAGCUUACGCUGACAACUCAUUUGGCUUUUCAUUAGCCCGUUAUAUACUCUUUCAGACAAUUGGCUUUCUGAAACGAAAUCCCCAUUUCAUGGAUUAAAAUCCACUUAUAGCAUUUCCGUUCCCCUCCUUGGGAACCAGAGCGUUCUUCUUUCUGGUGUGUGGGCUGAAGACAGUGGUCAAGUGAUUUAUUAAAAUUUACUCAAAUCAAAGCACUUUUAUUGUCACAUUAUCAGUAGCAUGUGUACUAUGAUGAGUGAAAAGCUUAGGUGCUGGCUCCAGACAGUGCAAAAUACAGACAGUGCAAAUACAACGACAAAAAACAAAACAAAAAAAAACACAGGACACUGUAAGAUUGACAGCGAUAUGUACAAUGAAUAGGUGUCCUCUUUCAGUGCUGUGAAAAUCAUGUCAUGCAUGAGGUAAUCUGUCACUUGCAUGACUGUUUAAAGCAGCUACCACAUUUUAUUGAAGUAAAAGGAAUGACACCGCUUUGACUACGUGCCAGUGGAGGUGAAUCAUAACCUAAACAUCUUUUCAAACAAGAUUAAAAGGGUUACCCAUGGGAAUUAUAGCAAGUUAUCUGCUAAUGAAAUCCGUGUGAACAGAUUACAAAUCAGCACUUUUUCAGUUAUCAUAUUGGUUAAAUACAGAGCUGAAUACCGCACAUAAAUUACAAAUACCUACAAUUAUUCCUGAAUUUGAGUAAUGCACUGCACCAGUGUUAUUAUUGGACAGUCAAGUCAUUGUAUAUAUUGGAUUAUUCACUUGUUUAUGGGACCGAAAAAUUUGAUUUUCUAGAUUAGUUAAGCACCACUGAGUUCUCACCUCAGCCUUAGAUCAUAUACCAUUCUAUGAUUAACAUUAUUUCUUAAAGGGGUCAAUUACUGUUUUAAAGGCUUGAUUGUGUUUAUAUGGUGGGCUGUCAUGCAUUUUUAUUUACUUUUUAAUUGCAUUGAUUUGCAUAUAGUUUUAACCUUUAUUUAAGGGUGCGUAUGUUUUUUUUAUAUUCUUCUGGAAAGUUGUAAUUGUCAAGCUCUAAACCAUGGGUGCCCAAUUUUUUUUUUUUUUUAUGAAGGGUCAAAAACCAAACUUGACCAUGAGGCCGUGAGCCAAAGGUAAAUAUAUCAAACCGAAUUACUAAGUUGCCAUGAUUAAUUUCCUAAUUUAUUUUAAAAUAAUUUGAAAACAUCACUUUAAUCAUAUUAACCAAAGCAUUUUAUAUAUUUUUUACUAUUUUAUAAUGAAGCUACUGUAAUGAAAACAUAGGAAUUCAAUGUAUAACACAAGGGAGUUUAAUGCCAAGCCGCACCUGUCUAUUCCUUGAUUUGCUGACCGUUGACUUUUGUAAAUUUUGCUCUAUCCGUUGUGCAACAGUGUUCAAUCAAAUUAGAGAUGAUAAUAUUUUUUAAAGGGCAUCAUGGUUGUGCAGUGAGUAGCAUGAUCGCCCCACUUCCUCAUAAAUUCAGAGUGAGUGCACUGACGUCUGUGAGUAGAGCAGGAAUGUUGCUUGUCACUGUGUCAGACAAGGCUCUAGUACAGUGCCAUUUAAAGUCAUACUUUCCUGUUCUGUGAAAGCUGAAGCAAUACAUGAGGUGAUCUGUCACAUGAUUGUCUGUUUGAUGAGUGGUGUUUUUAAAGCAAUUUACAGCUACAGCUUGCUAAAACAGCUGAGAUUGUGCUAAAACCACACAAUUACCACGAAGAUGCAACUAAUUUGCAUCUAGUUUGCAUUUCCAAGAAUUAAACUGAGAGUCAAUGUCAUUCUUCAAAACAUAAUACUGUGUAAUUGGUUAACAGCUACAAGGUGGACAUCAUUAAAAAAAAAUCAGCUGUCUUACAAAACUGUUUUUUGUUGCUAACGAUUACAUGUAAAGAAAACAUGUCGGCAUGUAGGUCAUCAGUCAGGUCUACCAUGGGGUGUGUGAGGACAGUUCUUAGUUAAAAGACUUUCUCACUCACAGUUAACAUUAAUGCAACACUCUGUAAACACAACCCUCAAUUAGAUGAACCCUAUGCUGCUCUUGUCUUCUCAGCAGCCACACUACAGUUUAAAUAAUGUCUGAGCUGUUAAUUUAAAAACAAGCUUUUUCAGGAGUAACUGGAGUCCCUCAUGCAGAUUUUGCAAAUAGACAGGGGUCUAACGUGUUUUAAGACAGAUUACAAAGUAAAUACAAUUUAUUACAAAGAGUAAUAUUAUGUAUGACAAUAGUUAUUAAUUGUGACACCCAUAGUUCUCACCCUCAUCAACCACCUUUUAUCAAUCCAGCGUUCAAUCACCUGCAUACUAAUCACCUGCACCCAGGGCCGGUGUGUCCAUAGAGGAGACCAGGCGGCCGCCUAGGGCGGCAGAAUAGAGAGGGCGGCGUCCGCAACACUACCCUCACCACCCGCACACUCAGAUAUAUCCGCGUCUAUGGCGGCAGAAUAGAGAAGGCCGCGUCCCCAACACUACCAUCACCACCCGCGCCCUCAGUUAUAUCCGCGUCUAUAUAGAUAGAGAGGGCGGUGAUAGCCGAUACCUUCUGAUGUUCCACUAAACAGACAUUGAAAUCAGAUGUUUAUCUAGCGAACUGUUGAUGAGAUUGCUCACACCACUGAUUCAUGAAUAAAACCCUUAAAAGAUAACCAUCCUUGUUUUUCGUGUGUGCCAGCGUGACAUUAAUACCAUGACAAAUGCUUUUAUUCUACACAUUUGAUGCAAAUCUGUCUGAUACACAUCAACAAAGUAAAUCAACUACAGUUCAGAUGAGUAAGAAGCUACAGGAAAGCAUAAAGUUUUUUUUUCUUUUUUCUUCUUUAACCACAUUUUGCUUAUUUCCAGUAAGUCCGCCCAGUUCUUUAUAAAGCCCCUAUAUACAAAAUGUUUGCUAAAAUGAACAAAACAAUAGAUUGACUGUUGUUACUGACAAUGAGAAAAAAAGAGAUGUCCAUGGUAUGGAAUAAAAGGAAAGAAUUACUGAAAAUUAUGUCCAGGG
rnacentral:lncRNA from 1 species